GAUGAACGCUGGCGGCGUGCCUAAUACAUGCAAGUCGAGCGAACGGACGAGAAGCUUGCGUCUCUGAUGUUAGCGGCGGACGGGUGAGUAACACGUGGAUAACCUACCUAUAAGACUGGGAUAACUUCGGGAAACCGGAGCUAAUACCGGAUAAUAUUUUGAACCGCAUGGUUCAAAAGUGAAAGACGGUCUUGCUGUCACUUAUAGAUGGAUCCGCGCUGCAUUAGCUAGUUGGUAAGGUAACGGCUUACCAAGGCAACGAUGCAUAGCCGACCUGAGAGAGUGAUCGGCCACCCUGGAACUGAGACAGGGUCCAGACUCCUACGGGAGGCAGCAGUAGGGAAUCGUCCGCAAUGGGCGAAAGCCUGACGCAGCAACGCCGCGUGAGUGAUGAAGGCCUUCGGAUCGUAAAACCCUGUUAUUAGGGAAGAACAUAUGUGUAAGUAACUGUGCACAUCUUGACGGUACCUAAUCAGAAAGCCACGGCUAACUACGUG
rnacentral:rRNA from 1 species